CUGCUUGGCCUGCAACUCCUG
rnacentral:misc_RNA from 1 species